UACAGAGGGCCCGAGCGUUGUUCGGAUUCAUUGGGCGUAAAGGGUGCGUAGGCGGCGGGGCAAGUCUGAUGUGAAAUCCCGGGGCUCAACCCCGGAACUGCAUUGGAUACUGCCUUGCUAGAGUACUGGAGAGGGAACUGGAAUUUACGGUGUAGCAGUGAAAUGCGCAGAGAUCGUAAGGAAGGCCAGUGGCGAAGGCGAGUUCCUGGACAGUUACUGACGCUGAGGCACGAAGGCCAGGGGAGCAAACGGG
rnacentral:rRNA from 1 species